CAGGGAACAUCUACAUCGUAGCCUGUGCCUUCCUUCCCAUAAGGGCUGAAGCCUAUUUCACCCCCAAGUGGACCACAUAUUAUUCACACAGCAGAUGCUUACAUGCGGGUCGCUCCCACACAGUGGCUGUUAUGAAGGGCACUGCUGUGAACACUGGGACGAGUUUUCGAAUCUCUUGGGUCCGCAUUGGGAGUUGUACCUCCGGGCCGGUGCUAACUCUGUGCGUGCCCUUCUGAGGACCUGGCAGGCCUUCUCCAGCUCUGCCAAGUGCAGGAGGGUCCUGGCUCCUCUCCAUCCUCACCAAUGCUCAUUGCCACCUAUCUGCUUCACAACAGCCAUCAGGGACCUUGACAACAGUGUGGCCUCCUCUUGAUAGCCAGGCUGCCUCAUCCCCACCCCCAUGAUGCCCAGGGAUGCCUGGAAUCUAUAGUCUCAUCUCCUUGAUAUGAAUGAGAUCAUCGGUGGAGAGUACGUGGCAUGAUGCUUCUCACUCAAUGGGCACCCACCGAGGGUGGGAAACCAGGUCCUCAUCCUGCCAGACUCACAGCCUAGCGAGGAAGCCCAGUGCCCUGCGUACCAAGCAGCAUGCAGCACACAUAUCCAGUCGUGCAGGCUUCUUGAGGUCCGCUGAAGAAAUAGAAGCCCACAUUAAGGAAAUGAUUUGCAUGAAGGCUGAAAAUUGCAGAAGUGCCUCAAAAAAUUAAACUUAGAAUUGCUAUAUGACCCAGCUAUUCCAUUUCUGGAUGUAUAUAUACCCAAAGGAGUGGAACGCAGGCAUUUGAACAGAUAUUUUUCACCAACAUUGAGAGAGAAGGUGAAGUCACAUACAUGUCCACUGACAGAUGUAUAGAUCAACACAAGGUGACACAUAUGCACGUGCGAGUAUUCUCAGGCUUAAAAGGAAGGACGUUCUGACAUCUGUUACAACAUGGACGAGCCUCAGGGCAUGAUGCUCAGUGAAAUAGGCCAGUCACAUAGAGACAAAUACUUACCAUUCCACUCAUAUCAGGAUCUCUUGAGCUGCAUCAUUUUGGUCCUGGUACCCAAGGAAUGAGUCUGGUUUAAAUGGCUUAAUGUCAAGGGUCCUACAAGCUGCAGGAUGAUCAGCUUUCCUUCUUUGCCUGGCCUGCUAGAAGAACCAGCACUGCAGUCCUCUUAUGCAUGAGAAGAAUCCAGACUUCUGGGCUCCCAUUUCUGUCAGCCAAAUUGUAAAGCAACGUGUGAACUUGUUAACUGCGUGACGGCCCUCCCUUUCUUUUACUUUCUUUUUUCUUUUUCAAGUAUUUUUAAAAAGUAACCUUUUUAUGAUUAUGCACGUAUACAGAUGCAUUUUAGGAAGCUAGAGAAUCAAAGCAAACAAAUAUUCAAAAAGUGCAACUUGGGAUUCCUAUUUUCCAAGUGUCACCAUACCUGACUACAUGAAAAAAAAUAAAAAAAAGAAAGAAAGAAAAAAAAAAAGUAAAAAAGGAAGAAAAAAAUAUCUGACUACAUCGCCUUGGUUCUCCUAAGAGGAGAGAUCCCAUUUUGCCUGCAAUCUGCUUCUUCCAAUCAGCCACCUCCACUCUGCUAUUACAGGGAAUGUUCAUCUCAUCUGAUAUUGAAACUAUAUUCACAUUUCCCAUGUUGAUCCCCAAAUCUGUUUGAUAGCUGGUUUAUCCAGAACAGCAUCCAAUCCAGGAUCACCUAUCACAUCUGCUGGCUCGGCCCUUGGGCCUCUUCAUCCAGAAGUCAUUUCUAGGAACAUAACACUCAUCAAAGACCCUGAGCCAGUCCUCCCUGUAGAAUGCCCCCAUUCUGAUUCUGUGUUAUGGCUUCUGCGUAGUGUCAUUCAUCUGUUCCUCACCCUUCUUCCCUUCCCGUGAACUGGAAUUAAUAUCUAAUGGCUGGCAGAUACACAUAAAACAUUUUUUGCUAGGAUAAUUACCACUGAUCCCAUGUUCUUGAUAUUACAUCACCACUAAAGACACACUCUCUUGUUGAGGUUUAGUAAAACCACUAGCAAAACUCAGGUCAAUUUCUCAGGGUGGUGACAGCCCGAUCUCUCCAUUCCUCUAUUCAACUAGCUCCUCCUGCAACUAGGGAGUAAUAUGUGUCCUGUUACUUUGACCCCGUGUGAAUGUCCAGUUCUCCACCAA